AGUGAUACAACAGACUCAAUGUCAAACAGGACAUUUUGUGAAAGAAGCAUACGAAACACAUCAGGAGAUAAAAGCUAUUUGUGAAUAAUGUGAAUGAGUUUGACAACAGAUCAGUUUUAUAAUGCUAUCUAGAGACUGAGUGGAUUCAUGAACAGAAUGGAGAUUUUGUUUGAUGUUCUUCAUUCUUGAGACAGAGCACUUCCUGUAAAAUGAGUCUGUAUGAGAAGAGAGAGGAGGAUGUUCACAUACAUAAAGCAGCAUCUCCUGAACCCAGCUGUGUGUCUGUGAAGAGUGACAUGUCUAUGUAUGCUCCUCCUUUAUUCAGUGAUGGAGCAGUUACCUCUGACCCUGAGUACAUCAUGGGCAGCGGUGCACUCUCCAUCACCGCACAGGUCCUCUGCCCGUAUCCAUAGUAACUGUGUUUGGGCUGCUUGCAUCCUCCAGCACAUCUGAAGGCCUGGUACCCGGCCGGCUCAAUGAUCCAGUACUG